GACGAACGCUGGCGGCGUGCUUAACACAUGCAAGUCGAACGGUGAAGCGCCUUCCUUUUUGGUGGGUGUGGAUGAGUGGCGAACGGGUGAGUAACACGUGAGUAACCUGCCCCCUUCUUCUGGAUAACCGCAUGAAAGUGUGGCUAAUACGGGAUAUUCUGGGUCUGUCGCAUGAUGGGUCUGGGAAAGAUAUUGUUUCGGUGGGGGAUGGGCUCGCGGCCUAUCAGCUUGUUGGUGGGGUGAUGGCCUACCAAGGCGGUGACGGGUAGCCGGCCUGAGAGGGUGGGCGGUCACAAUGGGACUGAGACAAGGCCCAGACUCCUAAGGGAGGCAGCAGGGGGGAAUAUUGCACAAUGGGCGCAAGCCUGAUGCAGCGACGCCGCGGGAGGGAUGGAGGCCUGCGGGUUGUGAACCUCUUUCGCCAGUGAAGCAGGCCUGCCUCGUUUGUGGGUGGGUUGACGGUAGCUGGAGAAGAAGCGCCGGCUAACUACGUG
rnacentral:rRNA from 1 species